rnacentral:lncRNA from 1 species
CCUCAGGCAUGCUAGGCAAGUGCUCUACCACUGAGCUACACUCCUAGUUCUAUAAGCAUUUUUUUGAAUGUUGGGAAAGUUAAUCCUAUUAUGUAUGUGCCUUUUAGCCUUGUUUUUAUAUUUUUUUAGGUGUGUGUUUAUUUAACCAUACAAAAGUUUUUGUUUUUUUUAAUACCAGGAAUUAAAUCCAGGAGCACUUAACCACUGAGCCACAUCCCUAGCCCUUUAUAAUUUUUUUUUUUUUUCAAUUUUGAGACAGGGUCUUGCUAAGUUGCUUAGGACUUCAUCAAGUUGCUGAGGCUUACCUUGAAUUUGUAAUCCUCCAGCCUCAGUCUCCCGCCACUGGGAUUAUAGGCAUGCAGCACCUGGCCAAAAGUUUUAAAUUUUAAUAUAAUUAUAUUUAUCCAUCUUCUUUGGCACCUAGGUUUGUAUUAUGCUUAAAAAACAUUUAUUUUUUAAUUGUAGGUGGACACAAUACCUUUAUUUUAUUUUUAUGUGGUGCUGAGGAUCUAACCUAGUGGCUCACGCAUACUAGGUAAGCACUCUACCUCUGAGCCACAACCCCAGCUCUAUUAUGCUUUAUAAAGACCUUUUCAUCCAAGGAUUAUAAAAGAAAUUCACUCAUUUUUCUUCUAGUACAAAUCCUGUUUUUUGUUUGCUUGUUUGUUUUUGCUUAUUUUGUUUACUGGGGAUUGAACCCAGGCACUUGCACAUGCUAGACAAGUACUCUACCAUGAAGCUGUAUCCCCAACCCUACUGCUUUAGUUUUUCAUACUUGCUUUUUUUGCUUCAGAUUGGUUUAAAAAGUGACUUCUAUCCAGGCACAGUGGUGCAUACCUGUAAUCCCAGCAGUUUGGGAGGCUGUAGCAGGAGAAUGACAAGUUCAAAACCAGCUUCAGGGCUGG